UGAACGACCUGUGUGCCCCUC
rnacentral:siRNA from 1 species